UCAAUUGUCACGGAAGAGCUCGGAUCGCCAUUUGCGACCGACGCCGAAGGAGCAACCGCCCCGGAAACUCUCAGGCAAAAGGACCGUGACAACAUU
rnacentral:ncRNA from 2 species